rnacentral:rRNA from 1 species
CUACGGGCCGCAGCAGUGAGGAAUUUUGCGCAAUGGGGGAAACCCUGACGCAGCAACGCCGCGUGAGUGAAGAAGGCCCUUGGGUCGUAAAGCUCUGUCAAUGGGGAAGAAGUUAUUAUGUGUUAAUAGCACAUUUUAUUGACGGUACCCAUGAAGGAAGCACCGGCUAACUCCGUGCCAGCAGCCGCGGUAAUACGGGGGGUGCAAGCGUUAUUCGGAAUAUUGGGCGUAAAGGGCACGCAGGCGGUCCUGUCAGUCAGAUGUGAAAGCCCGGGGCUCAACCCCGGACGUGCAUUUGAAACUGCAGGACUUGAGUACGGGAGAGGAAAGGGGAAUUCCUGGUGUAGAGGUGAAAUUCGUAGAUAUCAGGAGGAACACCGGUGGCGAAGGCGCCUUUCUGGACCGAUACUGACGCUGAGGUGCGAAGGCGUGGGUAGCGAACGGGAUUAGAUACCCCGGUAGUC